rnacentral:rRNA from 1 species
UACAGAGGUCUCAAGCGUUGUUCGGAUUCAUUGGGCGUAAAGGGUGCGUAGGCGGCGCGGUAAGUCGGGUGUGAAAUCGUCGGAGCUUAACUCCGAAACUGCAUUCGAUACUGCCGUGCUUGAGGACUGGAGAGGAGACUGGAAUUUACGGUGUAGCGGUGAAAUGCGUAGAUAUCGUAAGGAAGACCAGUGGCGAAGGCGGGUCUCUGGA